CUACUCCUACGUCUCCUACACCUACUCCUCCUGCUCCUCCGUCUCCUCCUCCUCCUCCUCCUCCUCCUGCUCCUCCUCCUCCUCGUCUUUGAUGGAGUCACAUUUAAAUCUCAGCAGUCAGACACGGCGGCUCAUCUUCACAUCACAAUGUGACAAUAGAGGUUAUCUGCAUGUCGGAGAGGACAGGUUUCUAUGAGCUACAGGAGGCUUUGUGCGUCUGUGUGUGUCUGUGUGUGUGUCUGUGUGUGUCUCUGUGUGUGUCUGUGUGUCUCUGUGUGUGUGUGUCUGUGUGUGUCUGUGUGUGUCUCUGUGUGUGUCUGUGUGUCUCUGUGUGUGUGUGUCUGUGUGUGUGUCUGUGUGUGUCUCUGUGUGUGUCUGUGUGCAUUGAGCUCAAGCUUUGUCACAGUUGUGUUUGUGUCACUGAAUACGCCUUGUUGUUGUGUGUGGUUGUUUACAGGGUGUUGUUUGUUGUGAUAAGAAGGUACCGCCCCCCCACAUCAUUGUCAACAAUGAAAACAACAUAAUCUGCUUUUCUUUCUGUUGUUGGAGAGCGCCGUUUCCUCUUCACCUCUUUCCUCUGAUCCGUGAGCGUUGGAGCUUUCUGACUCUAGAGGGGCGGGACUUCAUCACAUCACAUUACAUUACAUCACAUUACAUUACAUUACAUUACAUUACAUCACAUUACCUCACAUCACAUUACAUCACAUCACAUCACAUCACAUUACAUUACAUUACAUCACAUGUCAUUUAGCUGACGCUUUUAUCCAAAGCCACUUACAAUAAGUGCAUUCAACCAUAAGGAUACAAACUGCAAUUUCAUCAAAUAAGCCAAUUUACAACUGUCGAGUGUCACACUGAGGUUCCUGCAGUCAAAGUGGGCGUUAACACGGAGUUGCCAAAGUUGACCGUCAAGUUCUGGGUCAGAGAAUCUUUUCCGUGCCGCCACCUGGGUGUCCGAGUGAGGGAAGGAGAGAAUUAGUUGGGUGUCGUCGGCAUAGCUGUGGUAAGAGAAGCCAUGCGAGCGAAUGACAGCGCAGAGAGAGUUGGUGUAGAGCGGAAAACAGGAGGGGACCCAGGACGGAACCCUGAGGAACUCCAGCAGUAAGAGGACAAGGUUCCGACACAGAUCCUCGCCAGGUUGCCCGGUAGGUGCGGCCGUCGAGGUAGGACGAGAGACGGGAGAGAGCAGAGCCUGAGACACCAAGUUCCUGAAGGGAGGAGACAAGGAUCUGGUGGUUGACCGUGUCAAAUGCAGCAGAGACGUCCAGAAGGACGAGGACAGAGGACAGAGAGGAGCUCUAGCAGUGUGGAGUUGCUCUGAGACAGCAAGGAGAGCAGUCUCUGUGGAGUGGCCUUGAAGCCUGACUGGUGGGGGUCAAGGAGGUUGUUACAGUGGAGAUAAGAGGAGAGUUGGUUAAAGAUCACACGUUCAAGGGUUUUGGACAAAAAGGGAAGAAGAGAGACUGGUCUGUAGUUGUUUUCUUCAGAAGGGUUGAGGGUGGGUUUCUUCAGGAGAGGGUUGACUCUUGCGAUAGAUUGUAGAAGAUGUGAUGGAAUGGGGUCAAGAGGGCAGGUGGUGGACGGGCAGAGGUUACUAGGGUAAGAACUUGGUUAGGAGACGGGGGGUGAAGGAGGGAAGUGAGGGCGAUAGAGGUGAAGCCAGUGGGUUUGAGAAAGAGGAGCGUAUGUCAGCUAUGUUCUUGGUAAAGUAGUUGACAAAGUCUCCUGGAAGAAGGGUGGAGGGGGGGAGGACUAGGGGGUCCCAGGAGGUUAGAGAAGAUAGAAAUGAAGAUUGGAUUCUGAUUGGUAGAAAGAGCUUUUGGCAGCAGAGACAGAAGCAGAAAAAGAGGAGAGAAGAGAUUGAAACUCAAGCAGGUCAUCAGGUCGUUUAUAUUUACGCCGUCUCCUCUCCGACGCUCGCAUGGCGGCUCUCAUGGCACCGGAUCAGACCGACACGGAGCCGCAGGGGAUUCACCGACCCGUCGGGUCAUAAGAGGACAGAGAGUCCAGAGAGGAGGACAGAGAGUCCAGAGAGGAGGACAGAGAGUCCAGAGAGGAGGACAGAGUUGAGAGGAGAGUCUCUGCAGCAGCGUCAGAUGCAAACUACUUAUUCAAUACUUCCUCUGGGGAGCAUGAAUGAGUCCAUUAGCUCAGUGAAAAUAGGGUCAAUCCUUCUCCUUUUUAAUUAAUUCAAGUUAUAAUAUAAACUUUGUAUUAAAUGAUGUUGGGAACAGUCUGUUUGGGGACCAGUGUGUUAGGAAUCAAUGGAGAUGCAGGAGGACAGCAGCGAUGAUCAUCAUGGUUCUGUGGAAGUGGAACGAAGAACACUGAAGCACGAGGACAUUUCUAUAUUUUGAAGAUAUUUCUUACAGACCUUUUUGUCCUUCCAGAGACAGAAUGUCUUUAUCCGACACUCUGAGAUGCAACGUGAGUCUCUGGGAGAAGAGCUUGUAUGUACGACUUCUUCAUGGUUGAUCCUCCAUUGACUGUUGGGUGUGUGUCUGCCGUCGAGGCAGCGCUUCAUCUGGAGCGUCUAAUGUGGCAGAUGACAGAGAGGGUUCUAUCGGUUCUAAAGAGGGUCCGGUAUCGGUUCUAAAGAGGGUCGGAUAUCGGUUCUAAAGAGGGUCCGGUAUCGGUUCUAAAGAGGGUCCGGUAUCGGUUCUAAAGAGGGUCUGAUAUCGGUUCUAAAGAGGGUCAGAUAUCGGUUCUAAAGAGGGCCGGAUAUCGGUUCUAAAGAGGGUCCGGUAUCGGUUCUAAAGAGGGUCCGAUAUCGGUUCUAAAGAGGGUCGGAUAUCGGUUCUAAAGAGGGUCCGGUAUCGGUUCUAAAGAGGGUCCGGUAUCGGUUCUAAAGAGGGGUCUGAUAUCGGUUCUAAAGAGGGUCUGAUAUCGGUUCUAAAGAGGGUCAGAUAUC
ensembl:lncRNA